rnacentral:rRNA from 1 species
UGGGGAAUAUUGGACAAUGGGCGCAAGCCUGAUCCAGCCAUGCCGCGUGAGUGAUGAAGGCCCUAGGGUUGUAAAGCUCUUUCACCGGUGAAGAUAAUGACGGUAACCGGAGAAGAAGCCCCGGCUAACUUCGUGCCAGCAGCCGCGGUAAUACGAAGGGGGCUAGCGUUGUUCGGAAUAACUGGGCGUAAAGCGCACGUAGGCGGACAUUUAAGUCAGAGGUGAAAUCCCAGGGCUCAACCCUGGAACUGCCUUUGAUACUGGGUGUCUUGAGUCCGAGAGAGGUGAGUGGAAUUCCGAGUGUAGAGGUGAAAUUCGUAGAUAUUCGGAGGAACACCAGUGGCGAAGGCGGCUCACUGGCUCGGUACUGACGCUGAGGUGCGAAAGCGUGGGGAGCAAACAGGAUUAGAUACCCCCGUAGUCC